GUCUCACUAGCACAGUGGUUAGUGCACAGCCCCCGAUAGGUUGAGACGCGGGUUCGUAUCCCGUCUGAGAUG
rnacentral:tRNA from 1 species